rnacentral:miRNA from 1 species
UUGCACAACACCAAUAUUCUGA